rnacentral:rRNA from 1 species
GGUGAUCGGCCACAUUGGAACUGAGACACGGUCCAAACUCCUACGGGAGGCAGCAGUGGGGAAUAUUGCACAAUGGGCGAAAGCCUGAUGCAGCAACGCCGCGGGAGUGAUGAAGGCCUUCGGGUCGGAAAACUCUGUCCUCAAGGAAGAUAAUGACGGUACUUGAGGAGGAAGCCCCGGCUAACUACGUGCCAGCAGCCGCGGUAAUACG